GAUGAAGACGUAGCGAAAUGCGAUGACUAAUGUGAAUUGCAGAAUUCCGUGAAUCAUCGAGUCUUUGAACGCACAUUGCGCCCCCUGGUAUUCCGGGGGGCAUGCCUGUCCGAGCGUCAUUACAACCCUCAAGCCCGGCUUGUGUAAUGGGCGGCCGUCUCUCCCCCCGGGGGGAGACGCCCCCGAAACUCAGUGGGGAUGUCGCGAUACCGAAGCCUCAGCUAAUGGGUAAACCACAGCUGCAAUGGCCGCGGCCGGCGUCCGCCUUCCACGGUCCGUCCGCCUAGCGCGGGCGGCCUUCUCAAGUUUGACCUCGGAUCAGGUAGGGAUACCCGCUGAACUUAAGCAUAUCAAUAAGCGGAGGA
rnacentral:misc_RNA from 1 species